GACACAGUAUGCAAAUGAUCUCCGACUAGUCAGAGAGAUAAGGAGAGCUCAGUAAGCUUAGGGGCGGGGCUUCACUCUGCACCAGGAAAAAGGGGAAAGAAGCUGCUGACAACGCUGGAACCAGAGCAGACUGGCAGCAGGGACUAAGGAUAUCUCUCUUGGCUCUCAGACGAUCCCAGCGGUGCCGAAGCUGCUGCGCUGAACGGACAUCGCUCAUCUGGCCAGGAUGUGAUGUAAUCUUUGACUGUAGACAGUAGGUGGCGUCUGGCAGGCAUCGCAGGAUCUGCGGAGUUGUUAGGCAAUCCACCCGUAGCAACCCGUGUCUAGUGUAUUGGAGCGCCCACAUCCGCUUGGAAGGGGCUUUUUCAUUGUGUGAUGCUGUGUCUUUCCUUGACAAUACUAAAAAGUACAAGACUUAAUAAGGAAUGUGAUGGCUGCGGUGAACUCUGAUGCUGUUAAUCUGCACCGAGGGGGUUCCCUUGUGCAUCUUAUUUUUAAGAGGGACAAUAGCGAUUUUUAUAUUUUUAUGCUUGGGCCUUGGGUAAAAGAACCGCAUGAGAAGGAGGCACAGUGGGUAAAUUAUGACGAGGAUGAAUUGUUUGUGAAGACUGACUGAUGGGAUGGGAAGUUGGCUGAUGGGAUUUUUGAAGCCUUAAUACAGGAUACAGUUCAUGUUCUGCAAAGCAUCCAGCAAAAGAAGACCCACCUGAUGCUGAUUUGAUACUAAUAAUAUAAUUCUUGCUACAUUUGCUUUGUGCUAUAGUGGAGAGUAGUAAUGUGAGGGCCGGCCCGAUACGUACGGGCCUACCUGAUACCCGUGAGCCGGCCCUAUUUGUAGGGUCACGUGUAUGCUGCAUAUAUUUAAUAGUGCUCUGCAUUAUUGUCUAUUAUCUGGUUAAGCUUUUAGUAAGUAUUGGUUUAUUUUAUAAUCUGAAUAUUUUU